rnacentral:rRNA from 1 species
GGGUUGUGAGGUUAAGCGACUAAGCGUACACGGUGGAUGCCCUGGCAGUCAGAGGCGAUGAAGGACGUGCUAAUCUGCGAUAAGCGUCGGUAAGGUGAUAUGAACCGUUAUAACCGGCGAUUUCCGAAUGGGGAAACCCAGUGUGAUUCGUCACACUAUCAUUAACUGAAUCCAUAGGUUAAUGAGGCGAACCGGGGGAACUGAAACAUCUAAGUACCCCGAGGAAAAGAAAUCAACCGAGAUUCCCCCAGUAGCGGCGAGCGAACGGGGAGCAGCCCAGAGCCUGAAUCAGUGUGUGUGUUAGUGGAAGCGUCUGGAAAGGCGUGCGAUACAGGGUGACAGCCCCGUACACAAAAAUGCACAUGCUGUGAGCUCGAUGAGUAGGGCGGGACACGUGGUAUCCUGUCUGAAUAUGGGGGGACCAUCCUCCAAGGCUAAAUACUCCUGACUGACCGAUAGUGAACCAGUACCGUGAGGGAAAGGCGAAAAGAACCCCGGCGAGGGGAGUGAAAAAGAACCUGAAACCGUGUACGUACAAGCAGUGGGAGCACAGAGCAAUCUGUGUGACUGCGUACCUUUUGUAUAAUGGGUCAGCGACUUAUAUUCUGUAGCAAGGUUAACCGAAUAGGGGAGCCGAAGGGAAACCGAGUCUUAACUGGGCGUUAAGUUGCAGGGUAUAGACCCGAAACCCGGUGAUCUAGCCAUGGGCAGGUUGAAGGUUGGGUAACACUAACUGGAGGACCGAACCGACUAAUGUUGAAAAAUUAGCGGAUGACUUGUGGCUGGGGGUGAAAGGCCAAUCAAACCGGGAGAUAGCUGGUUCUCCCCGAAAGCUAUUUAGGUAGCGCCUCGUGAAUUCAUCUCCGGGGGUAGAGCACUGUUUCGGCAAGGGGGUCAUCCCGACUUACCAACCCGAUGCAAACUGCGAAUACCGGAGAAUGUUAUCACGGGAGACACACGGCGGGUGCUAACGUCCGUCGUGAAGAGGGAAACAACCCAGACCGCCAGCUAAGGUCCCAAAGUCAUGGUUAAGUGGGAAACGAUGUGGGAAGGCCCAGACAGCCAGGAUGUUGGCUUAGAAGCAGCCAUCAUUUAAAGAAAGCGUAAUAGCUCACUGGUCGAGUCGGCCUGCGCGGAAGAUGUAACGGGGCUAAACCAUGCACCGAAGCUGCGGCAGCGACGCUUAUGCGUUGUUGGGUAGGGGAGCGUUCUGUAAGCCUGCGAAGGUGUGCUGUGAGGCAUGCUGGAGGUAUCAGAAGUGCGAAUGCUGACAUAAGUAACGAUAAAGCGGGUGAAAAGCCCGCUCGCCGGAAGACCAAGGGUUCCUGUCCAACGUUAAUCGGGGCAGGGUGAGUCGACCCCUAAGGCGAGGCCGAAAGGCGUAGUCGAUGGGAAACAGGUUAAUAUUCCUGUACUUGGUGUUACUGCGAAGGGGGGACGGAGAAGGCUAUGUUGGCCGGGCGACGGUUGUCCCGGUUUAAGCGUGUAGGCUGGUUUUCCAGGCAAAUCCGGAAAAUCAAGGCUGAGGCGUGAUGACGAGGCACUACGGUGCUGAAGCAACAAAUGCCCUGCUUCCAGGAAAAGCCUCUAAGCAUCAGGUAACAUCAAAUCGUACCCCAAACCGACACAGGUGGUCAGGUAGAGAAUACCAAGGCGCUUGAGAGAACUCGGGUGAAGGAACUAGGCAAAAUGGUGCCGUAACUUCGGGAGAAGGCACGCUGAUAUGUAGGUGAAGCGACUUGCUCGUGGAGCUGAAAUCAGUCGAAGAUACCAGCUGGCUGCAACUGUUUAUUAAAAACACAGCACUGUGCAAACACGAAAGUGGACGUAUACGGUGUGACGCCUGCCCGGUGCCGGAAGGUUAAUUGAUGGGGUCAGCGCAAGCGAAGCUCUUGAUCGAAGCCCCGGUAAACGGCGGCCGUAACUAUAACGGUCCUAAGGUAGCGAAAUUCCUUGUCGGGUAAGUUCCGACCUGCACGAAUGGCGUAAUGAUGGCCAGGCUGUCUCCACCCGAGACUCAGUGAAAUUGAACUCGCUGUGAAGAUGCAGUGUACCCGCGGCAAGACGGAAAGACCCCGUGAACCUUUACUAUAGCUUGACACUGAACAUUGAGCCUUGAUGUGUAGGAUAGGUGGGAGGCUUUGAAGUGUGGACGCCAGUCUGCAUGGAGCCGACCUUGAAAUACCACCCUUUAAUGUUUGAUGUUCUAACGUUGACCCGUGAUCCGGGUUGCGGACAGUGUCUGGUGGGUAGUUUGACUGGGGCGGUCUCCUCCUAAAGAGUAACGGAGGAGCACGAAGGUUGGCUAAUCCUGGUCGGACAUCAGGAGGUUAGUGCAAUGGCAUAAGCCAGCUUGACUGCGAGCGUGACGGCGCGAGCAGGUGCGAAAGCAGGUCAUAGUGAUCCGGUGGUUCUGAAUGGAAGGGCCAUCGCUCAACGGAUAAAAGGUACUCCGGGGAUAACAGGCUGAUACCGCCCAAGAGUUCAUAUCGACGGCGGUGUUUGGCACCUCGAUGUCGGCUCAUCACAUCCUGGGGCUGAAGUAGGUCCCAAGGGUAUGGCUGUUCGCCAUUUAAAGUGGUACGCGAGCUGGGUUUAGAACGUCGUGAGACAGUUCGGUCCCUAUCUGCCGUGGGCGCUGGAGAACUGAGGGGGGCUGCUCCUAGUACGAGAGGACCGGAGUGGACGCAUCACUGGUGUUCGGGUUGUCAUGCCAAUGGCACUGCCCGGUAGCUAAAUGCGGAAGAGAUAAGUGCUGAAAGCAUCUAAGCACGAAACUUGCCCCGAGAUGAGUUCUCCCUGACUCCUUGAGAGUCCUGAAGGAACGUUGAAGACGACGACGUUGAUAGGCCGGGUGUGUAAGCGCAGCGAUGCGUUGAGCUAACCGGUACUAAUGAACCGUGAGGCUUAACCUUACAACGCCGAAGCUGUU